AAUGCAAGUCGRCUGSUYUUAUUSGCUUWUUUUGAAGAUCAGCGGCGGACGGGUGAGUACAGCGUGGGAACCUGCCUGUAAGACUGGGAUAACUUCGGGAAACCGGAGCUAAUACCGGAUAAUCCUUUCCCUCACAUGAGGGAAAGCUGAAAGACGGUUUCGGCUGUCACUUACAGAUGGGCCCGCGGCGCAUUAGCUAGUUGGUGAGGUAACGGCUCACCAAGGCAACGAUGCGUAGCCGACCUGAGAGGGUGAUCGGCCACACUGGGACUGAGACACGGCCCAGACUUCUACGGGAGGCAGCAGUAGGGAAUCUUCCGCAAUGGACGAAAGUCUGACGGAGCAACGCCGCGUGAACGAUGAAGGCUUUCGGGUCGUAAAGUUCUGUUGUCAGGGAAGAACAAGUAUCGGAGUAACUGCCGGUACCUUGACGGUACCUGACCAGAAAGCCACGGCUAAUACGUGCCAGCAGCCGCGGUAAUACGUAGGUGGCAAGCGUUGUCCGGAAUUAUUGGGCGUAAAGCGCGCGCAGGCGGUUCCUUAAGUCUGAUGUGAAAGCCCCCGGCUCAACCGGGGAGGGUCAUUGGAAACUGGGGAACUUGAGUGCAGAAGAGGAGAGCGGAAUUCCACGUGUAGCGGUGAAAUGCGUAGAGAUGUGGAGGAACACCAGUGGCGAAGGCGGCUCUCUGGUCUGUAACUGACGCUGAGGCGCGAAAGCGUGGGGAGCGAACAGGAUUAGAUACCCUGGUAGUCCACGCCGUAAACGAUGAGUGCUAAGUGUUAGAGGGUUUCCGCCCUUUAGUGCUGCAGCAAACGCAUUAAGCACUCCGCCUGGGGAGU
rnacentral:rRNA from 1 species